CGCCACCUUUAGCAGACUCUGAUACAGAAACACUAUCCUCAUCCGGAAUAGCUGUACUCAGUAAACUAGCCGCCUUCUUAGACUUAGAUGAUUUCUUCUUCUUCCCCGAGAAAGUGAUCGAUCCUAUAUCUUCAUCAUCAUCAUCAUCAUCCUCCGCCUUUUCAUCCUUACUCUCCUCAUCCCCAUCAUCAAUCUCAUCUAAUGCACUAAACAAACUACCUCCUCCUUUCUUCGAACCCUUCGAGGACUUCUUCUUCUUCCCAGUAAAAACAAUCGGUUCAUCAUCCUCAUCACCAUCUCCUUCACCUGUUAACUCCGAUUUCUCCUCAUCAUCAUCAUCAUCAUCAUCCUUAUCCUUAUCAUCACCAUCCUCCUCAUCCCCAAGCAAACCAAACCCAGCAGCAGCACUAAACACACUCCCCCCACCACUUUUCUUCGAUUUCCCCUUUUUCUUCCCAGCAACAACAAUUUCAGGCACAUCAUCAUCAACAACAUCAAAAUCAUCACCAUUAUCUUUAGCAGAAGAUUUAGCGUUACCUUUCUUACCUUUCUUUUUCCCCGGUUUCUCAUCCAC
rnacentral:lncRNA from 1 species